rnacentral:sRNA from 1 species
UCUUGAGAGAAUAUAAAGAAGGAGUUGGAAAGUUUAUAGUCUGUGUCUGUGUGGAGUGUUGCAGGACGAGUGGAAAUGACUGUUUCCAAGUUCAUGGCAAUUCAGCAGGCCCUUCAGCCAGACUGGUUCCAGUGCCUCUCUGAUGGAGAAGUAUCUUGUAAGGAAGCAACUUCCAUAAAAAGGGUCAGAAAGUCUGUUGACCGAUCACUUCUUUUCUUGGAUAACUGUCUGCGGCUGCAGGAAGAGUCAGAGGUUCUUCAGAAGAGUGUGAUCAUUGGAGUGAUUGAAGGUGGAGAUGUGAUGGAAGAGAGGCUGAGGUCAGCACGAGAGACAGCCAAGCGGCCUGUGGGUGGCUUCCUUCUGGAUGGUUUUCAAGGAAAUCCAACAACCCUGGAGACUAGACUACGCUUGCUGUCAUCAGUCACUGCAGAGCUGCCGGAGGACAAGCCAAGGCCAGUGUUCAGUUAGGACACAGGCCGGCCUCAAGAGAUGCAGGGCAGGAGUGCUGGCCGAUUGUAUAUUACAUAGUGUCUGUGCAUGGGCAUGCCUUUGAUGUUUUGAUUAUGUCCUUUCUGGGCUGAGUCUGCCAAGGUGCUGAGGCAGACUGUAAGGGGAGUUUCCAUCAAGGCUGUCCUGGCCUUGAUUUCAGAAUGUAGAGUAGAGGAUAAUUGCCAUUUGAAUUAUGUUAUUUGAUCCUCCUAAGUGAGAGCAAGUAUUAUACUGUUUCCCCUCAUUCUUGUGCCAAUUACAAAUAUUGUUGUUAUAACAUGGUACCUGGAGACCAAGUGUAAAGUCACAUGGAACUCUGGUUUAAAUCGAGGAAAGUUGAGGACAGAUCUAGGAUGACUAGUGAGAAGAUGAGCUCCACCAAGAACUUAAGAAGCUCUUAGAUUUGAGGCCGGUAGUGAGUGGUGUCAAUUUUUGAAGUUGAGGGGACUGACAACACUAGUAGGAUUGGUUCUUACGUUUCCAUAAAUUGCAGGAUUCACCUUGUGCUGAUAAGAAAAGAUGAUCUGCAAGAUUUGAAGCUACAAAUUCUGAGUUUCUGAAUGCAGCUGAUGUCGUAUUAGGCUACCCACAUUUUUUUAAUGGUUUGUUAUCUUAAUGUAAAUAUUCAUGCUUUUUUCCUGCAUGUAUAUUAAGAAGUUUGGUUGUGGGGUGCUGCUCUAUAGUCCUCUAGAGCUGUUGGAUAGUAUAUAAUAUUAUAAUAUGUGUAAUUUUACUACUUUUUUUUUUUUGAGAUGGAGUUUUGCUCUUGUUGCCCAGGCUGGAGUUCAAUGGCAUGAUCUUGGCUCACUGCAACCCCCGCCUCCCAGGUUCAAGUGAUUCUCCUGCCUCAGCCUCCUGAGCAGCUGGGAUUACAGGCAUACGCCACCAUGCCUGGCUAGUUUUGUAUUUUUAGUGGAGACGGAGUUUCUCCUUGUUGGUCAGGCUGGUCUCGAACUCCCAACCUCAGGUGAUCCGCCUGCCUUGGCCUCCCAAAGUGCUGGGAUUACAGGCGCGAUUUUACUACUUUUUUAAAGAUCCAGGUACAACUUGGAGGAAAGCACAUGAAUCUUACAUAUAGCUCAAUUAAUUUUCACAUGUCUACACUUGUGUAAACACUACCUAGAACAAGGUAUUUCCAUCACCUCAGCCAGCCUUUGAUCCCCAAUUUUAACCUAGUUCUUUUGUGUUCAUUGCUCCCUCUCCUGUACUUGUUUCACUCUGGUGCACAUAACACUUCAGCACUAGUAUUUCUAGACAUUUUCUGGGCUUCUUCAUGUUAAGUGCUCACAGAUGUCUGUUACUGAAUUUGAAAGCUGGAUUGUUUUUCUUUCUGUAAGUGUGUAGAAAUGCCAGCUUCAGUUGGAUAGGAGUUCUAAAACAUUACAUUACUUGAAGGAAACUGUAGUCAGGAAAACCAGCAUGUAUUUAUAAGAGUUCUGCUUAUUUAAUAUUACAUGAGCCUUUUUUUUUGCAUUUCUGUGCCAGUUCUUAGAAAGGGGCUAUAGGUAGAAAAACAAACAUAAAAAAGAGCAGCAGCCAGCCAGCCCUGAUUUAGUGCAUCUCCACAUCUGUUUUCAUGGAGUGGCAAAACCUGGCUGAGUGCUGUUAAUAGUCUCAGAAUGCCUUACCUAUUACAAGUUGAGUAUCCUUUAUCCAAAAUGCUGGGGACCAGAAGUGCUUGAGAUUUUGGAUUUUUUCAGAUCUUGGAAUAUUUGCAGAGUACAUACUGGUUGGACAUCCCUAAUUUGAAAGUCCAAAAUCCAAAAUUCUCCAGUGAGCAUUUCCUUUCAGUGUCAUGUUGGUGCUCAAAAAGUUUCAGAUUUUGGAGCAUUUUGGAUUUCAGAUUUUCGGAUUAAGGAUGCUCAACCUGUACCUUGGAAAACACCAUCUUAUUCCACAGUGCAGACUUUUUAUUAAUGGAGAAAAUAUAAAGAAAGCCAACUAGAUUCUUAGAUCCUAUGGCCAGAGGUGAAAUCUUGACAGCAAGAGUUGCUUUGUAAAUUAACUUAUGAGGGAUAUAGUAGAUUAAAAUGUCUUCAUUGCACCAAUUAUGAAAAAUUAUUAUAGGCAAAAUACAGUUAAAACAAGCAAAAUAUUUCAGCAAGAAAUAAAGCACACAGCUUUGCACUCCUAAAAAAUCUAUAUAGUGUAUAGAAGAUAGGCUAUAAAGGGCUAUAAAGUUUAGUUUAUGACCAGGGAGGUUGUUCAGAAAGGAUGAUAGUUGAGAGGAAACUAACCUUUAUUGAACUUCUCUCUGGGAUCAGAAACUAUACUAUGGGCUGGGCGCGGUGGCUCACACCUGUAAUCCCAGCACUUUGGGAGGCCAAGGUGGGCGGAUCACCUGAGGUCAGGAGUUCAAGACCAGCCUGGCCAACAUGGUGAAACCCCAUCUCUACUAAAAAUAUAAAAAUCGGCUGGGCGUGGUGGUGGGCACCUAUAAUACCAGCUGCUAGGGAGGCUGAGGCAGGAGAAUUGCUCCUGGAAGGUGGAGGUUGCAGUGAGUCAAGUUUGCAUCAUCGCACUCCAGCCUGGGCAACAAGAGCAAGACUCUGUCUCAAAAAAAAAAAA